rnacentral:rRNA from 1 species
AUUGAACGCUGGCGGCAGGCUUAACACAUGCAAGUCGAGCGGGGAAAGGUAGCUUGCUACCUGACCUAGCGGCGGACGGGUGAGUAAUGCUUAGGAAUCUGCCUAUUAGUGGGGGACAACAUUCCGAAAGGAAUGCUAAUACCGCAUACGCCCUACGGGGGAAAGCAGGGGAUCUUCGGACCUUGCGCUAAUAGAUGAGCCUAAGUCAGAUUAGCUAGUUGGGGGGGUAAAGGCCUACCAAGGCGACGAUCUGUAGCGGGUCUGAGAGGAUGGUCCGCCACACUGGGACUGAGACACUGCCCAGACUCCUACGGGAGGCAGCAGUGGGGAAUAUUGGACAAUGGGCGAAAGCCUGAUCUAGCCAUGCCGCGUGUGUGAAGAAGGCCUUUUGGUUGUAAAGCACUUUAAGCGAGGAGGAGGCUACUUGGAUUAAUACUCUAGGAUAGUGGACGUUACUCGCAGAAUAAGCACCGACUAACUCUGUGCCAGCCGCCGCGGUAACAC